rnacentral:rRNA from 1 species
UACGUAGGGUGCAAGCGUUGUCCGGAAUUAUUGGGCGGAAAGAGCUCGUAGGCGGUCAGUCGCGUCUGCUGUGAAAACUCGGGGCUUAACUCCGGGCCUGCAGUGGGUACGGGCUGACUAGAGUGCGGUAGGGGAGACUGGAAUUCCUGGUGUAGCGGUGAAAUGCGCAGAUAUCAGGAGGAACACCGGUGGCGAAGGCGGGUCUCUGGGCCGAUACUGACGCUGAGGAGCGAAAGCGUGGGGAGCGAACAGG